UGUUGCAUUGCAUUUGUGUGUGUGU
rnacentral:piRNA from 1 species